UUCAUACUUCCUCCGUCUAACAAAAGAUGUCUUAAGUUUAUCAAAAUUUGGAUGCAUCUAGAUAUGACUUAGUAUAUAGAUGCAUUCAAAUUUGAUCAAAGUUGAGACAUCUUUUGUUGGACGGGAAUACAUU
rfam:Brachypodium distachyon strain Bd21 chromosome 1, whole genome shotgun sequence.